CUUUGGAAAAUAAGUCACAGCCUCUGGGGUUGGCCUGUCAGUCAUCCAGCAGUCUAAUUUUAACUCUAAUUCACUUCAAUGAUUUGGCACCUAGGUCACUGCCUUCAAGCUAUGCCCGGUCAGCGAUCAGAGGUAGCCAUGGGAUACAAGGCAGCACACUGGGGACUUCAAAUCCUUAGAGUUGGGAUAAAACUGGAUACUGCCACUUCCCAGCACGAUAGCCUUGGGCAACUCCCACACAGACAUCCUUCAAGAAGGGGAAGACAGCUUUCAGACCAAGCACAAGGAGGUUUCAGACAAUUCAGCAGGCUGUGGUAGAGUUCCUGGAAUGGAGCAGAAAGCCCAAAAUAGAUAUCCGGGAAAAAAGAGGAAAUGGUGACAAAGAACUUCCUUUAAAAUGACAAGACCCUCCUUUUAUUGCCACAAUUGAGUCACGUGAAUUUUUGGUCCCUUCCAUGGAGAAGGGUGUUCCCAUGGGUUGAUUCAUGUACUUUAUUUCCUCCUUGAAGAGAGAGAAGGAAAAAAAAAAAAUGAUGAUCUAAGUAAUUGCAGCCAUCAAAGUAGUAAGAACUCAUCGAUCUCAAGUUCAACAGAAAUCUCAGUGAAAUAAUGCAGGGCUUAGAGAUUCUGUUCUUGUGAAAAUUCAUUCACUCAACAAAUGUUGAUUGUCUGCUCUAGACCAAAUGCUGGGAUAUAGAAACUAAUACAAUACUGCUCGUGCCACUAAGGACCUCUUUCUCUGUGGAAGACACAAAGUAAAUGAAGAACACUAUGAAAAACGAACCUAAAGGACCACUCUGUUUUUCCCUGUGGCCCUUCACAGGGCUACUGCCCAUGGAAAUCCCACAAAAAGAAGAGUUUCACAGGUUAGUUGCUGUAGUGGGUUGUAUGGUGUCCUCUCAAAAUUCAUGUCCACCUAAAUCUCAGAAUAUGACAUUAUUGGGAAAUAGGGUCUUUGCAGAUGAAAUUAAGAUGAGGUCCUAUCAGAUUAGGG
rnacentral:lncRNA from 1 species